rnacentral:rRNA from 1 species
GAUGAACGCUGGCGGCGUGCCUAAUACAUGCAAGUCGAGCGAACAGACGAGGAGCUUGCUCCUCUGACGUUAGCGGCGGACGGGUGAGUAACACGUGGAUAACCUACCUAUAAGACUGGGAUAACUUCGGGAAACCGGAGCUAAUACCGGAUAAUAUAUUGAACCGCAUGGUUCAAUAGUGAAAGACGGUUUUGCUGUCACUUAUAGAUGGAUCCGCGCCGCAUUAGCUAGUUGGUAAGGUAACGGCUUACCAAGGCAACGAUGCGUAGCCGACCUGAGAGGGGGAUAGGCCACACUGGAACUGAGACACGGUCCAGACUCCUACGGGAGGCAGCAGUAGGGAAUCGUCCGCAAUGGGCGAAAGCCUGACGGAGCAACGCCGCGUGAGUGAUGAAGGUCUUCGGAUCGUAAAACUCUGUUAUUAGGGAAGAACAAAUGUGUAAGUAACUAUGCACGUCUUGACGGUACCUAAUCAGAAAGCCACGGCUAACUACGUG